rnacentral:rRNA from 1 species
GACAGAGGGUGCAAACGUUGUUCGGAAUUACUGGGCGUAAAGCGCGCGUAGGCGGAUCUGCAAGUCGGGGGUGAAAUCCCGAGGCUCAACCUCGGAACUGCCUUCGAUACUGGGAGUCUCGAGUUCGGGAGAGGUGAGUGGAACUGCGAGUGUAGAGGUGAAAUUCGUAGAUAUUCGCAAGAACACCAGUGGCGAAGGCGGCUCACUGGCCCGAUACUGACGCUGAGGUGCGAAAGCGUGGGGAGCAAACAGG